GAGUUAAUGGCAUAUCCCCACCACUGAUCUCACUUACCUAGCCAACCUGGUGAGUUAGGUUUUGAUUAGAUCACUUGGUGAUUAGGGCUCACCCAUGUCAUUAGGUAAAUCAGUUUGACUGAUUUAGGUGCUCCUAAUGCCAGCUUUAAUUAAAUCCUUUUUUAAUCUGACUUUGUGAAGUCAGUGGGAGGAUUGAAAUUGACU
rnacentral:lncRNA from 1 species